UACAGAGGUCCCAAGCGUUGUUCGGAUUCACUGGGCGUAAAGGGUGCGUAGGUGGUGGGGUAAGUCGGAUGUGAAAUCUCCGAGCUCAACUCGGAAACUGCAUUGGAAACUACCCUGCUAGAGGGUCGGAGGGGGGACUGGAAUACUUGGUGUAGUAGUGAAAUGCGUAGAUAUCAAGUGGAACACCGGUGGCGAAGGCGGCCCUCUGGACGGUGACUGACGCUGAGACGCGAAAGCGUGGGGAGCAAACAGG
rnacentral:rRNA from 1 species